GUAUUCCUGCUUUAUUUGCGAAGCCGUUUAUGACUUAAACCAACAUUAACACUACGGGAGACCAUCUCCGCUUAUCGGCAUAAACGCCCCCGUUCAUUUUUGGACGUUAGGGGACUUAUAAAGAAAGCGGGUAAUUACCCACCUGCAUAAGCAGGUUUGAGUGUGGCGGACUGGCGGUACGGCGGGGUAUU
rnacentral:other from 1 species